rnacentral:rRNA from 1 species
UACGUAGGGUGCGAGCGUUGUCCGGAAUUAUUGGGCGUAAAGGGCUCGUAGGCGGUUUGUCGCGUCGGGAGUGAAAUCCACUGGCUUAACUGGUGGCUUGCUUUUCGAUACGGGCAGACUGGAGGUAUGCAGGGGGAGAACGGAAUUCCUGGUGUAGCGGUGAAAUGCGCAGAUAUCAGGAGGAACACCGGUGGCGAAGGCGGUUCUCUGGGCAUGUCCUGACGCUGAGGAGCGAAAGUGUGGGGAGCGAACAGG